rnacentral:lncRNA from 1 species
UACCCUCAAAUCCUCUUGUGGCAUGAAUCAGACCAAAAAUUUUCCAAAUCUUUCCACUUGACCACACAGAAAUUAGCAGAAAUGCAAACCACCAGAAGUGCAUGAGACGAGGCUGGCUAAGACAAGGAUUAAAUUAGACUGCCUUUGCCAGAAGACAGAAAGAAGUCAUUGCCAAAACAACAACAACAACAACAACAACAAAACAGUUAAAGAUAGUCAACUCCAGAGCACCAGCAAUAGCUAAGGCACUACAGUUAAUUUCAACCAUUGGCAGUAAACAACUUUAACAUGAUGACUAUUAGGCAACAAUCAUUUUAAGAAAGCUUCCCGGGUGACAGAGCCUGUGGUGACAGAAACUCAUUGAAAAAACUAAAGCCACAAAUACAAAGAAAGUGCAACUGAGCCCUAUGGAUUAAUGAGAUACACAAAUGCAAUUCAGAAGUACAAAACUUCACAGCUUGUUUUACUAUGUCAUCAACUACACAUUUGUAUUCCCUUCUAUUCGAUGUUGAUUAAUUCUAUUACAUCAUACACAAACAAUCCAGAAAGAAAAAGGAGGUGUAGAAGGAGGAGGAAAAGGAGAAUGAGGAGGUGGAGUAUAAGUGGAGAAAAGACAUUAAAGUAAAUUAAAUUACAUGGAACAAAAUGAAGACAUUAAAAGGCAUUAAGGUAAAUUAAAUUACGUGGUACAAGAUAAAGACAUUUGAUUUGUUAUUUGGGAACUCUAUGGUUUUCCGGCAGUUUGUU